rnacentral:rRNA from 1 species
CCUACGGGGUGCACCAGUGGGGAAUAUUGCACAAUGGGCGCAAGCCUGAUGCUGCCAUGCCGCGUGUAUGAAGAAGGCCUUAGGGUUGUAAAGUACUUUCAGUUGGGAGGAAGGCGUUGAUGCUAAUAUCAUCAACGAUUGACGUUACCAACAGAAGAAGCAGCGGCUAACUUCGUGCCAGCAGCCGCGGUAAUACGGAGGGUGCAAGCGUUAAUCGGAAUUACUGGGCGUAAAGCGCACGCAGGCGGUUGAUUAAGUUAGAUGUGAAAUCCCCGGGCUUAACCUGGGAAUGGCAUCUAAGACUGGUCAGCUAGAGUCUUGUAGAGGGGGGUAGAAUUCCAGGUGUAGCGGUGAAAUGCGUAGAGAUCUGGAGGAAUACCGGUGGCGAAGGCGGCCCCCUGGACAAAGACUGACGCUCAGGUGCGAAAGCGUGGGGAGCAAACAGGAUUAGAUACCCCAGUAGUC